rnacentral:rRNA from 1 species
UAACAAAAGGGUUCUGUCUCAUAUAGGGAAGACCCGACCUGCUGCUGGAGCAGCUUCUUCAUUACUGCUGCCGUUAAUCAGGGGGGGGGGGGCCCCCAAGAG